CAUGCUUCACAAAAAAUUUUUUUUUCUGCAGUGAAUACAUUCCAUGUGCUAUGACUUCAUUGUUGGAUGCUGAUUAGCUCCAGAAAGAAAGCAGUGUGAAAAAGAUGAAACACAGAUUUGAAAGCAAUCUUGAAGAUCAGACAGAAAACCAGCCUAUGAAUCAAAGAAGAAAAUCAAAAUCAGACUUCAUAACUGCUUCAGUAACCCUUGGCAACAGACAACACACUGGAUUUUGGCGAAUAACACUAAAAUUUUUGCUGGUGAGGUCUUCAGAAACUGGAUAGAUGUGAAACCACCAGAACAGAAGUGGAGCGGGCAUGGUAUCUGUUUCUUCAAUUUGUAGUUUUAUAGUCAAAAACUGGCAUGUAUAUACUUAAUUGGUAACAUGUAAGUCACGUGCCUCUAUCCCAACUCUAAGAGAGGUUGAGAACUUAAUUUCUGGCUUCUACCUUGGGAAGGAUCAGGCUUAUAAGCUGGAAAAUUAGCCAACAUACACAGGAUAUUCAAAGCUUCUAGGCAGUCAAAAUACUGUCAAGUGGUAAAACAGACAUGAAAAAACCUUUUUUUCUCUCCUAAAUUUAAAAAAAUAUAAUUUUUGUAAAACACUGUAUGUGGCUUUCCAUAAAAUUAAAAGAGUCUUGGGAGAGAGAACAUCUCAUAUGCUUCCUAGUGAAUUACUUCCACACUAAAGCAAUUAAUGAAAAUGAAAAUACCGUGUAUAAUAUUUUUAAAGCAGCCUUUUCACUGAUAAAUAUGUUUUAGGUAUAUAUACAGCUAUGGAAAAGUUUUCCUCAUAACAAUUCCAUUUUAUCUCAGGUAUAAUCGGUCAGGAGAAAUUAUUUCUUGUUGCUAAAAAUGGAACAAAACGUUUGAGCUAAAGAAACACAUUUCUCAUUCAACACACACAUCCACAGAAGUUUCUUCUCAUGCCAAAGUGAGCAAAUCUACACUUGGGAUUGUACAAUUUUUAUGAAAGUAAUUAACAAAUAAAACAUUUAAAAGAAAAUUAAUUUUCUUACCUAUAAUUAAUAUCUAUCACCUUGGCACCUACUAACAAAAUUUUCU
rnacentral:lncRNA from 1 species